GUACCAGGAUCUGGUGGCAAAACUUGCUCACAGAUUUUUGAAGCAGCUGGUUGUGACACGCCUGCGAGUCCCAGUUGUGGUGCUUGUUUGGGAGGCCCUAAAGACACUUAUGCAAGAAUGAAUGAACCAAUGGUCUGUGUGUCAACGACAAACAGAAACUUCCCAGGGCGGAUGGGACACAAAGAAGGCCAGAUAUAUCUUGCUUCCCCCUAUACAGCAGCAGCAUCUGCUUUGACCGGUUAUGUCACUGAUCCAAGGGAGUUCUUGCAGUAGGC
rnacentral:misc_RNA from 1 species